GCAAGCAAAAUUCUAACAAACCCACUUCCAACAUCUACAUUAUAAAAGAAAAGCCGCUGGUGACUUAGUAAAGAUGAGCGCCGAGUGAGCUUGAGCUCGUUUGCAGCCGAAGAACUUCAAGCAUGUGCCGACCGAAGGUUGCUUUCUCCCUUCUGGGACUCGAAAUGGGUGGAGAUGGAAGUUAAAAAAUUUGGAAAAAAAUGGGUGGAAAUAGAGAUUUCAAUUGAGCCGGCUGAAGGAAAUUUUCUCCCUUUCGUUGAAAUUUCAAUUGAGCCAGCCGGAGGAAAUUUUCUCCCUUUCGUUUCUGUACUUUGGGGAAGUGGGUGGAGAGAGAGAGAGAGAGAGCUUUGUUCUAUGAAUUAAUCAAUUUCCCUCCAUUUUGCAUUUGGUGGCUUUAUUCACCUUUUAAUGAAUUAAAUAAUGUACAGUGAUCAUUUUUCAAAUCCCUGUAUCUAUUCUGUCAAUAACCCUGUCCACCUAGCAUAAUUGUAAAUUAAUUUCCCUUAAUUGUCACUCACUAUUAGCAGAUAGAUAGAUAGAUUUUAUUCUAAAAAUACGAGAUUAAGAAGCUACUUUAAGCCAAAACUUGAAACUUACAUUAAUCAGAAUCAACAAGAACACCAUCCAAGAGGGGCAUACCCCUUCUCACCAAUGAAAUCAAGAGGACGAUGGAGUUUAUUUACAGUACUUUCAGAAUGAAAAUCCUCGUGAGAAACAGAGGAAGGAGAAAUGACAAAAAGAGAGAGGCAUUUGAGAACAUAUCUCAAUAAUUUGAGGGUCGUUAAAGUAAAUAGCCGCAGAUGAAUCCAUCUUCGGACUUCAAAAGCUAUUGCAGUGAAAUUCAGAUCUCGCACUGUAACACCAUAAAACCAUCUCCAUUUGUUGAGUGAUGCAGGAUUCUGAUUGUUCAUCCCUUCAAAUAUAUUUGCUUAUAAUGCCAACAAUCAGCGCAUAGAAAUAGCUGCAGAUGAAUCCAUAUCUUCGGACUUCAAGAGCUAUUGCAGUGAAAUCCAGAUCUCGCAUUGUAACACCAUAAAACCAUAUCCAUUUGUUGAGUGAUGCAGGAGCCUGAUUGUUCAUCCUUUCAAAUAUAUUUGCUUAUAAUGCCAACAAUCAGGGCAUACCCGAUUUGCGGCAUUCAUGUCCUACUUUUGGCUGCAAACACAAGGCUAACUGAUUAAACGUAAGCAAAGGGCUUCAAUUCUUACAAUGGCUAUAGUUCGCCGAACUUGUGGCGAAAUCUCAUUAGGUACUAGUCGCGUGUACAAGUAUAGUGAUCUAAACUAGAAUUUGCUAUAGGUUCAAUACUGU
rnacentral:lncRNA from 1 species